GGGACUGUCUGCCCCCUAUUUGAUGGCAGCAAGCCUCAGCCCUAUAGGAUGCUUUCCGAACUAAUCUUCCAUGAAAGGCCUGGCAAUCUUAGGGGCUGCAGCUAUAAACUUUCCAGGCACUUUGGGUUUCAAUCCUGCUGGGGAGGGAGCACUUCACAACAGUAGUGACAUCUGCCACACACAGAAAGAAUAGGAACAGAAUAGAGGGGGAAGGGAAGGGACUUGGGAGUACCUCCUCCCAUCCACAAUUAGGCUUUGUUUCUAAUAGAAGUUUUUGAGGUUCUUUGCAGCAUCAAGAUAAUUUUAAACCCAUUUCUGUCCUGUUCUUCUGCAGGCUGCCUUGGUGCUAGUUUUCCCUUAUCUGUUAUGCUUCUCAAAAUUUCCAGCAAGUAGGAAUGACUGUUUCUUUUCUUUUCUUUUUUUCUGGAGAAAAUAGAUUUUGUUUCAUCCACAAUCUAAUCCGCCAAGGUGUCGAGGCCAGCUCUUUCCUAAUCCCUGAAACAAGCCAAAGGAAGGUCGUAUUAGAACGGUGCAAAGGAAAAAGAAAAGAAGAAAGUCAUUGAAGGCGUUCAAAGUGCAAGGGGGAAGGGCCCUCUGAGCCUGGCCUGGGAAAAGCAUUGUGCUGGAUUCGACAGUCUUGACAAAGGGAUCUUUUCUACACCUCUCAAAAAUGUGCCAUAAGAAGAAACACAUCUCACCUCAGAAAUCCACACAGUUGUGAGGUGUGUGGUGCAUUUUAGAGAAAUGAAGUGUGCACA
rnacentral:lncRNA from 1 species